GCCCAGGUGGCGUAAUUGGUAGCCGCGCCAGUCUUAGGAACUGGUCUCGCAAGAGGUGGAGGUUCAAGUCCUCUCCUGGGCA
rnacentral:tRNA from 1 species